UAAUUUUAACGAUGGAUAUCUUGGUUCUUACAGUGAUUAAAACCGCAGCAACAUGUGAUAAACAAAGAAAGUUUCAAUGAAUGUAAAUCAUCUGAACGCUCAAAGUAAAAUUCAUCAAUGUUUGAAGUGAACAAAGGUGAGCUUAUAUUGUUU
rfam:Plasmodium malariae genome assembly, contig: contig6313